CUUGGUUUUGCUCUCACCUCUUCGCUGAUUGCAGCUCACAGUAAGUACUGGUUCACACAGUUCGUUCCUUGGGUGCUCACUCGCUUUCUCUUUCUCCACAGGCAGCGGCGUAAGUACAGGGUUCGCUCUAUUCCUCCUCGUGUUAUUCACUCUCUCUCCUUUUCUCUCCACAGGUAUCAGAUUGGACACAAAGCACAGUUAGUUUGCUUUGAAUAGCUCCCACCUCUGGGCUGAACACAGCGUACCGUGCUAUCUCCGGAGAUCUGAAGCACGCUCACAACAUAUACUGUACUGAAC